rnacentral:rRNA from 1 species
ACGGGAGGCAGCAGUGGGGAAUAUUGCACAAUGGGGGAAACCCUGAUGCAGCGACGCCGCGUGAGUGAAGAAGUAUUUCGGUAUGUAAAGCUCUAUCAGCAGGGAAGAAAAUGACGGUACCUGACUAAGAAGCCCCGGCUAACUACGUGCCAGCAGCCGCGGUAAUACGUAGGGGGCAAGCGUUAUCCGGAUUUACUGGGUGUAAAGGGAGCGUAGACGGCAGAGCAAGUCUGAAGUGAAAGCCCGGGGCUCAACUCCGGGACUGCUUUGGAAACUGCCCAGCUAGAGUGCAGGAGGGGCAAGCGGAAUUCCUAGUGUAGCGGUGAAAUGCGUAGAUAUUAGGAGGAACACCAGUGGCGAAGGCGGCUUGCUGGACGACAACUGACGCUGAGGCGCGAAAGCGUGGGGAGCAAACAGGAUUAGAUACCCUGGUA